CUACGGGGCGCUGCAGUGGGGAAUAUUGGACAAUGGGGGAAACCCUGAUCCAGCAAUGCCGCGUGUGUGAAGAAGGCCUGCGGGUUGUAAAGCACUUUCGGUUGGGAGGACUGCUUCUAGCACUAAUAUUGUUGGAAGUUGACGUUACCUUCAGAAGAAGCACCGGCUAACUCCGUGCCAGCAGCGCGCGGUAAUACGGAGGGUGCAAGCGUGAAUCGGAAUUACUGGGCGUAAAGCGCACGUAGGCGGCUAGAUCAGUCGGGUGUGAAAGCCCCGGGCUUAACCUGGGAACUGCAUCCGAUACUGUCUAGCUUGAGUACAGGAGAGGAGAGUGGAAUUCCACAUGUAGCGGUGAAAUGCGUAGAUAUGUGGAGGAACACCAAUGGCGAAGGCAGCUCUCUGGCCUGAUACUGACGCUGAGGUGCGAAAGCGUGGGGAGCAAACAGGAUUAGAUACCGUGUAGUC
rnacentral:rRNA from 1 species